AUGACCAGAAGGAGUUCCAGGAAGAAGCUAAAGAGGGGCUCGAGGUCAGCACAAGUUGGGCUGUGGAGUCAAUCCAGCUGGAGCCAAUCACAGGGAACUUUGGAGCUCCACAGUAGAGGGGGCAGUCAGGCCUCUUCUCUGCUUGUUCUAGGUCACAGGGAAGCCCUGCUUGGAGUGGAGAUGCCCAGCUCCAGGGUGCUGCAUGUCACUUGUAGUGGUGGUGAUGGCCAGGAUGGCAGGGUCUCCCCCAGCAGCUACUCCUCCAGCUCUCCAGACAAGAGACACCCACCCAUGCCACCCUGGAGGUUGCCCAGUAAUGACUGGCUGCAGAGGCUGUUUUUUCUGACUGGAGCUGGGUUUCCCUGGUCCUGGGAUGUCUCUGUGUCACUGCUGGGUGCCAUCAAGAUGGGCCGGCUCCCUCUCCUCAGCAGAGUGGGGGGUGUUCAGCCUCAGCUCCCUCAGGGUGGUCUGUUCCACAUGGUGAGGGCUGGCUCCCCACUUCUGCUGCAGCUGAGAGGUCAAGGUGGCAGCUGCAGACCAGUCCACAGCAGGCUCCACCAAGGAGCCUUGGGCACCCUCCAAUUUCCAGGGGGCCCUGUCUGCCUCGUUGACAAAGAGCCAGCCAUAGGCAGGGAAAUAAUCAAGGCUCAGCUUGUCCUGCAGGAAGGACAGCUGAGUCUGGGGGCUCUUCUCCAACCUGGCCUAGAGAUGUGGCCUCUCCAAAGCCUCUCCAGCUGUCUCCAGGCCUGGAGAACAUCACCAACCGUCAAUCUCCUGAUGCUGGCCUUCCCAAGACUUCCUAAGCCCACACUGGGCAGUGAAUGGAGUGCCUGUAAAGAAAUGUCAACAUUAAGUCAGCAAGGACUUCACACAAGGUCAGUGUCAGGCUUCACAAUGGUGAGGAUCUCAGAGCUCCCCUGUGAUUUCCUGACACCACAGAGGAUACUCCCCAAUGUUUCCAUAGUGUGCCAGAACCCCAGUCUUCUCUUAUUUGUCAGAGGAAAUUCUCUCAAACAAAUGCAGCCCACAGCCCCCCUAUAG
rnacentral:lncRNA from 1 species